GGACUACUUAAAACAUAGAGAUAGAGUAUAUUCGGAACCUCAUCAUGUAGCUUAUACAGUGACAUAAAAUUACUACGGGUAACCUCAAGUAAUAGAAUUGCAGAUUGUACAAAAGGCACAUGAAAGACCACAUGGAGAACACCCAGAACUGACACUGGUUCAUGUGCUAUCCUGCUGUCUCUCAAGAUUAAUCUUUAAAUGUGAAGACAUGAGGGUUUGGUUUUUUUUUUUUUUUAACGAAUAAAAUACAAAUGCAAGGAGGGGGGGUUGAAUUCGUGUCAAUUACUAAUUGCAGUUCAUUGAUCGCUGAUUUCUUUAAAUGUCUGAUCGGAGGUCUUACAUUUGUAUUAGCUGGAAAACUUUUGUUAGCUGGAAUCUAACUUUUGACUGCUGGAAUCGCUUCGCAUUUUGGUGCCUGCCUCACCGUAGGGGCUCAAAAAAUACAGGCUUUGCUCAAGGGACAGAAGGAUAGAAACCUGAAGCACAGAAGCCAUGUUUUCUACGUGGUUCCUGUGGGUGUGGAUCCAAAGGAGAAGCUUGAAAUGGGUCUGUCUGAGAAAAGUGGCAGUGGUUUUGGCAUGAAGGAAGCGGAGGAGGAGGAGGAGGAGAAAAGUCAUGCAAAAGGUGAAUUAACGAACACAGUUGUGUUCAGGGCCCUGUGGGAGGCUGCUCAAACAACUUGUACAGAAACGAAGCCAUCCAGGGAAGGGUACCCACAGUGCCCAUCCAGAGCCGCCCGAAGUCGCCCUGGCCUCCUCCCCUCUCUGAGCAGUCACAGCCCUGUUAUGCCCGGAGUCUUGGACCUCCUCUGUCACUGCCCACUCCUCGGCUGCUGUCCUGGUCCAGCCUGUUGCCACAGUGACUUCUUGGUCAUCCUGUUUGUAGCAUGGCUGAAGUGUGGGAAUCGGAGCAAAGGAACAAGAAUACCUUCUCUAAAAUGCAAACUGAGCACAUCAAUCCCUUUCAUGACUUCCCUCCAGACAGAGCCAAGGAGUGUACCACUGAGCUGACCUGGCCUUGUCCUGUCGUGUGAAAGGAAACUCAUAAAGAUAACCCCCCGGACCUGCUUUGAAGUUAUGUGAGGAUGUGGUGCUUGAAGCGUCGGCGGCCAUCUUGCAGUCAUCAGAGUGCUCUCGGUGAUCUGUCUCACUUCAACAGCGUUUGGACAGAAGAGACCCAGGAACCCGCCUUUCACCAGCCUCUGAGCCCUCUCCAGCCUCUUCUCAAGUCUCCUCUUUGAUAACCAUUUCAGCCACCUUGGGCCUCUAAGACCAGCCAACACCUUUGUGUGUGUGUGGCGGGGGGCGGGGGGGGGGACUUAAUUCCUUAUUGCUGAGCAACCACGAGCUCCCAAAUUUGUUAGAAUUAUUCCGCUAAGGUGAAGGCCACCAUCAACUGCCUGAUCACUCUGCACCUGCGGGCCUCCUACCUCUGCCUGGGCUUCUGUUUUGACUGAGACAGUGUGGCUCUGGAGGGUGUGGGUCCCUUCUUCACCAAGCUGGCAGAGGAGCAGAGGCAGGGCACCCAGUGUCUCUUGAGGGUGCAAAACCAGUGCAGCAGCCGCGCCCUCUUCUAGGAUUUGCAGAAACCUCCCAAGGCUAGUGAGGCAAUAAAUAAAGCACAGGAUGCCAGGGAUUCUGCCACAGUGCUGGAGAGCCUGGACCAGGCCCUUUGGGAUCUGCAGGCCCUGGGGUCUACCUGCACAGACCCUCACCUCUGUGACUUCCUGGAGAACCACUUCCUGAAGAGCAGGUGAAACCCAUCAGGAAGAUGGGCGACCACCUGACUACUGUCAGCAGUCUGGCCCGUCCCAGGCUGGGCUGGGUGAGUAACUCUUCCAAAAGCUCACCUGCAAGGCCAGCUAGUAGCCUUUGGAACCCAGAGGCCUUUGAGGGCCCCCCUGCACCCCCCUGGUGUCUGACUUCUGCCUGGAGCCUUUCCCUGUGACCACUAGGCCGGCUUUUAACCACCCAGAGCCCUUUCCCAUGCCUUGGACCAAAUGGAAACAAUAAAGCUUUUUGCAGGAGAAAAAAUAAAUAAAAAUAAAAUAUUUCUCCC